CCGGUAGUCCUAGCCCUAAACGAUGUAGACUAGACGUCGGUGGUGUAAUAGCUGUCGGUGUCCAAGCUAACGCGAUAAGUCUACCGCCUGGGGACUACGGCCGCAAGGUUAAAACUCAAAGGAAUUGACGGGUCCCCGCACAAGCAGCGGAGCGUGUGGUUUAAUUCGUUGCUACACGAAGAACCUUACCUGGGUUUGACAUAGCAGUGGUAGGGAAGAGAAAUCGGACCGACCCUUCGGGGAGCUGUUACAGGUGUUGCAUGGCUGUCGUCAGCUCGUGUCGUGAGAUGUUCGGUUAAGUCCGCUAACGAGCGCAACCCGCGUUGUGUGUUAUAUGUGUCACACAAUACCGCCGGUAUUAAGCCGGAGGAAGGUGCGGAUGACGUCAAGUCAGCAUGACCUUUAUAUCCAGGGCUACACACACGCUACAAUGGACAGUACAACAGGUUGCCAAGCCGCGAGGCGGAGCCAAUCCUCUAAAGCUGUCCUCAGUUCAGAUUGCAGGCUGCAACUCGCCUGCAUGAAGUUGGAGUUGCUAGUAACCGCAGGUC
rnacentral:rRNA from 1 species